rnacentral:rRNA from 1 species
GGCAUGCCUUACACAUGCAAGUCGAACGGCAGCGCGGACUUCGGUCUGGCGGCGAGUGGCGAACGGGUGAGUAAUACAUCGGAACGUACCCUGUUGUGGGGGAUAACUAGUCGAAAGAUUAGCUAAUACCGCAUACGACCUGAGGGUGAAAGUGGGGGACCGCAAGGCCUCACGCAGCAGGAGCGGCCGAUGUCUGAUUAGCUAGUUGGUGGGGUAAAGGCCCACCAAGGCGACGAUCAGUAGCUGGUCUGAGAGGACGAUCAGCCCCACUGGGACUGGGACACGGCCCAGACUCCUACGGGAGGCAGCAGUGGGGAAUUUUGGACAAUGGGGGCAACCCUGAUCCAGCAAUGCCGCGUGUGUGAAGAAGGCCUUCGGGUUGUAAAGCACUUUUGUCCGGAAAGAAAUCGCGCUGGUUAAUACCUGGCGUGGAUGACGGUACCGGAAGAAUAAGCACCGGCUAACUACGUGCCAGCAGCCGCGGUAAUACGUAGGGUGCGAGCGUUAAUCGGAAUUACUGGGCGUAAAGCGUGCGCAGGCGGUUUUGUAAGACAGGCGUGAAAUCCCCGGGCUUAACCUGGGAAUUGCGCUUGUGACUGCAAGGCUAGAGUGCGUCAGAGGGGGGUAGAAUUCCCCGUGUAGCAGUGAAAUGCGUAGAGAUGUGGAGGAAUACCGAUGGCGAAGGCACCCCCUGGGACGUGACGACGCUCAUGCCCGAAAGCGUGGGGAGCAAACAGGAUUAGAUACCCUGGUAGUCCCCGCCCUAAACGAUGUCAACUAGUUGUUGGGGAUUCAUUUUCUCAGUAACGUAGCUAACGCGUGAAGUUGACCGCCUGGGGAGUACGGUCGCAAGAUUAAAACUCAAAGGAAUUGACGGGGACCCGCACAAGCGGUGGAUGAUGUGGAUUAAUUCGAUGCAACGCGAAAAACCUUACCUACCCUUGACAUGCCACUAACGAAGCAGAGAUGCAUUAGGUGCCCGAAAGGGAAAGUGGACACAGG